rnacentral:piRNA from 1 species
UCACCGCUGAGUCAGUGCUGAGGCUCGC